AUUGAACGCUGGCGGCAUGCCUUACACAUGCAAGUCGAACGGCAGCACGGGAGCAAUCCUGGUGGCGAGUGGCGAACGGGUGAGUAAUACAUCGGAACGUGCCCAGUCGUGGGGGAUAACGUAGCGAAAGCUACGCUAAUACCGCAUACGAUCUGUGGAUGAAAGCGGGGGACCGUAAGGCCUCGCGCGAUUGGAGCGGCCGAUGUCAGAUUAGGUAGUUGGUGGGGUAAAGGCCUACCAAGCCGACGAUCUGUAGCUGGUCUGAGAGGACGACCAGCCACACUGGGACUGAGACACGGCCCAGACUCCUACGGGAGGCAGCAGUGGGGAAUUUUGGACAAUGGGCGCAAGCCUGAUCCAGCAAUGCCGCGUGCAGGAUGAAGGCCUUCGGGUUGUAAACUGCUUUUGUACGGAACGAAACGGCCUUUUCUAAUACAGAGGGCUAAUGACGGUACCGUAAGAAUAAGCACCGGCUAACUACGUGCCAGCCGCCGCGGUAA
rnacentral:rRNA from 1 species